UUCAUGAAAGGUGAGGAUUUGAGGUA
rnacentral:piRNA from 1 species